CAGUUUCUUGGCAGGACAGAUCUUGCUGAAGUAGAACUUCUGCCCUGGGUGUGCCACAUUGCCCUAGAGCUGAAAGGCACACGUGCAGGCUUCUUAACAAAGGGCGAGUUGUGCCCCAGAGCAUCUUGCUUCCAGCUGUUUGGGAAGCUAAGAAACAACUCGCUCUGCACAGUGCUCUUACAUCCUACCGGGAACUUCUCUUACAAAGGCCUGUGAAACGCAGUUUGUUUGCAGGCCUGAUCUGGCUGAAGUAGAACUUCUGCUCUGGGUGUGCCACAUUGCCCUAUAGCUGAAAGCUGCAACGUGCAGCCUCCUUUCCAAAGGGCGAGUUGGGCCCCAGAGCAUCUUGCUUCCAGCUCUUUGGGAAGCUACGAAACAAGUCGCUCUGCACACUGCUCUUACAGCCUACCGGGAACAUCUCUUACAAAGGACUGUGAAACGCAGUUUCUUUGCAGGCCUGAUGUGGCUGAAGUAGCACUUUUGCUCUGGGUGUGCCACAUUGACCUAGAGCUGAAAGGCACAACGUGCAGGCUUCUUAACAAAGGGCGAGAUGGGCCCCAGAGCAUCUUGCUUCCAGCUCUUUGGGAAGAUAAGAAACAACUCGCUCUCGCAGUGCUCUUACAGCCUCCAGGGAACAUCUCUUACAAAGCCGUGUGAAACGCAGUUUCUUUGCAGGCCUGAUCUGGCUGAAGUUGAACUUCUGCCCUGGGUGUGCAAAUUUGCCCUAGAGCUGAAAGGCACAACGUGCAGGCUUCUUAACAAAGGGCGAGUUGGGCGCCAGAUCAUCUUGCUUCCAGCUCUUUGGGAAGCUAGGAAACACCUCGCCCUGCACAGUGCUCUUACAGCCUACUGGUAACAUCUCUUACAAUGGCCUGUUAAACGCAGUUUCUUUGCAGGGCUGAUCUGGCUGAAGUUGAACUUCUGCUCUGGGUGUGCCACAUUGCCCAGAACUGAAAGGCACAACGUGCAGGCUUCUUAACAAAGGGCCAAGUGGGACCCAGAGCAUCUUGCUUCCAGCUAUUUAGGAAGCUAGGAAACAUCUCGCUCUGCCCAGUGCUCUUACAGACUACCGGGAACAUCUUUUACAAAGGCCUGUGAAACCCAGUUUCUUGGCAGGACAGAUCUUGCUGAAGUAGAACUUCUGCCCUGGGUGUGCCACAUUGCCCUAGAGCUGAAAGGCACACGUGCAGGCUUCUUAACAAAGGGCGAGUUGGGCCCCAGAGCAUCUUGCUUCCAGCUCUUUGGGAAGCUAAGAAACAACUCGCUCUGCACAGUGCUCUUACAUCCUACCUUGAACUUCUCUUACAAAGGCCUGUGAAACGCAGUUUGUUUGCAGGCCUGAUGUGGCUGAAGUAGCACUUUUGCUCUGGGUGUGCCACAUUGCCCUAGAGCUGAAAGGCACAACGUGCAGGCUCCUUAACAAAGGGCGAUUGGGCCCCAGAGCAUCUUGCUUCCAGCUCUUUGGGAAGCUAAGAAACAACUCGCUCUGCACAGUGCUCUUACAGCCUACCGGGAAC
ensembl:lncRNA